rfam:Hydnomerulius pinastri MD-312 unplaced genomic scaffold scaffold_19, whole genome shotgun sequence.
GGCGGGUUGGCGUAAUGGUAACGCGCUAGUUUCCGGUGUGAGGUUCGCUAGAGAUUCUGGGUUCGAGUCCCAGGCCUGUCG